GCCCGCCCGCCUCCGCGGUCACGCCUCGGACCGUGUGCACCUGCCCAGCAGGAACUUGUCAGGUUUUACUGGCCUUGUGAAGGACUCCUUUGUUUUCUUGUCCCAGGAAGAUUUUAUAUGGCAGCACAGAUGAAAAAAUGCAAGAACACCUCAAAGCAGACUGGCUUCUACAGCAGCAAACACCUACCAACAGCCUGCCCCCAAUUCACCCUUCCUUUUUGAAGAAAUGAACAGAACCUAAGAAUGCCAGUUAAUAUGAUUAUUUGCAUCAUUAUGCUGGGCAUCUGAUACAGCCAAACAGCAAGCCACCUGGUUUUCUCUAAGUAUUGGAUUCAUUUAAGAUAUAUAAUGAUGCUAUUGACUGACCAUUUUGUCAACCAAUGCUUUGAACCUGCUGUGAAGUCAUCACCAUGUCACCAGAUGCUGCACUGAAGGUUAGGAAGUUAGCAUGAAGGUAACACUUCAUUAAAAGCAUGUAUCUUAUGGCUGAGUUAAUAAUUCAAGAGAAAAAGAGUGGAACACACUCAGAAGAUCUUUAUCGUUUACAGCAAAGCCCCACUAAAGAUUUUUUUUAAACCUUUACUUUUUCUGGUAUCAUGAAUCUCUUCAUUAAACAAUAAAAUGGAGUCUUCCAGCAAGAUGUUCACAACAAAAUCCGCUGACAGAGAGAACAUAGGAAGCUGGUGCCUUCCAACAUAUGGCAUUUAAAAGGCUCUAGAGUGCUCCAAAGAACACUAAAUUGUUCAUGUGUAAUGACCUGGACAGAAGCUAAAAUGUGACCUUUGCCCUUUGAAUAAACAAAAAGACUCACCGUGGGGAGUGAAAAUAAAUAUAGCACAUAAAUAAAC